rnacentral:lncRNA from 1 species
CCUGAAGCCAGGGCUAUACAGAGAAACCCUGUCUUGAAAAACCAAAAAAAAAAAAAGAAACAGGAAAGUCGGCGGUUGGGCAUCUUUGGAUCGUGGGCAUGGUGGAGGAACCUGGGGAAUCGGGAGGUCUCUACUGGGGCCACAGCAGGCUUUUAAGAGUUUUAAGUUCUUGCCCUAACCUUUAUCACUGCAUGGUAAUAGAGGAACUGGGAUCCAGCCCCAGGCAUAUGGUCAAAUUCCCCAGGUUCUUCCUACAUUCCAGUGGGAAUUUUCAUAAGAGUCAAAAAUGUUCCAGAGUUUAGGCUGGGGAAUAGUGUUACAUGACCCCAACUGACAAUUAAGAGUUGGUUUUAAUUUGCCGGGCAUGGUGGAGCACUUG